rnacentral:rRNA from 1 species
AGCCGCGAAUAGCUCAUUACAACAGCCACCGUUUACUAGAAUAUAGUUAUCCUACUUGGAUAACUGUGGCAAUUCUAGAGCUAAUACAUGCAAAAAAGCUCUGCCCGCAAGGAACGAGCGCAUUUAUUAGAAUAAAAACCAAUCGGGUUUCGGCCCGUAAUUUGGUGAAUCUGAAUAACUUUGCCAAUCGCACAGUCCUAGUACUGGCGAUGUAUCUUUCAAGUGUCUGCCUUAUCAACUUUCGAUGGUAGGUUAUACGCCUACCAUGGUAGUAACGGGUAACGGAGAAUAAGGGUUCGACUCCGGAGAGGGAGCCUGAGAAACGGCUACCACAUCCAAGGAAGGCAGCAGGCGCGCAAAUUACCCACUUCCAGAACGGAGAGGUAGUGACGAAAAAUAACGAGACAGUCCUCUUCGAGGUCUGUCAUCGGAAUGGGUACAAUUUAAAUCCUUUAACGAGGAUCUAUUGGAGGGCAAGUCUGGUGCCAGCAGCCGCGGUAAUUCCAGCUCCAAUA